CAUCAAGAAUGUGACAGGCAGGGUCCCUUUUGCCUGGGACUUAAUGACAGAUGAUAAAACUAAGAGAGGGGAAAUUGCAGAUUGUGAAUAGUGAUUCUAAGAAGAAGACAGAUAGGGUACCAUGUGGAGAAGAUGUCACAGGGUAAGAGAGGUGUCAUCCAAGAGGGCCUCUGUGAGGUGAUGACAUUUAAACCUGAGCUCUGGGAUGAGAAGCAGCAGCAUUCCUAGACCAGGUGGCUGAACCUUCUAGGCUGAGGGGACAACAGGCUUAUGCAAAAUCAACCUUUCCCUUGCCGUGAGUAAAAGACCAACUUGCAUCUGCUUGGUAUGCAGUAAAAAAUGGAGCAGAUUGCACAGUGACUGGAGAAAUGAAUGAGAAGUCCAGCUAUGAAAAAAAGUCAGAGACAAAAAUGAAGAUAAUAAAAUAUAUUUUGGAUGA